UGGGGAGCAAACGGAUUAGAUACCCCGGUAGUCACGCCGUAAACGAUGUCUACUAGCCGUUGGAGGACUUGAUCCUUUAGUGGCGCAGCUAACGCGAUAAGUAGACCGCCUGGGGAGUACGGUCGCAAGAUUAAAACUCAAAUGAAUUGACGGGGGCCCGCACAAGCGGUGGAGCAUGUGGUUUAAUUCGAAGCAACGCGAAGAACCUUACCUACUCUUGACAUCUAGUGAACUUUUGAGAGAUCAAUUGGUGCCUUCGGGAACACUGAGACAGGUGCUGCAUGGCUGUCGUCAGCUCGUGUUGUGAAAUGUUGGGUUAAGUCCCGUAACGAGCGCAACCCUUGUCCUUAGUUACCAUCAUUAAGUUGGGGACUCUAAGGAGACUGCCGGUGACAAACCGGAGGAAGGCGGGGACGACGUCAAGUCAUCAUGGCCCUUACGAGUAGGGCUACACACGUGCUACAAUGGCAUGUACAAAGGGUUGCCAAGCCGCGAGGUGGAGCUAAUCCCAUAAAGCAUGUCGUAGUCCGGAUUGGAGUCUGCAACUCGACUCCAUGAAGUCGGAAUCGCUAGUAAUCGUGAAUCAGAAUGUCACGGUGAAUACGUUCCCGGGCCUUGUACACACCGCCCGUCACACCAUGGGAGUGGGUUGCUCCAGAAGUAGAUAGCUUAACCUUCGGGAGGGCGUUUACCACGGAGUGAUUCAUGACUGGGGUGAAGUCGUAACAAGGUAACCGUA
rnacentral:rRNA from 1 species